GACGAACGUUGGCCGCGUGCUUAAUACAUGCAAGUCAACUGAAGCAGUGGUAGCAAUAUCGCUGUGGAGGUGGCGCACGGGUGAGUAACACGUAGGUAAUCUGCCUUCAGGUCUGGCAUAACUCCGGGAAACCGGGGCUAAUAGCAGAUGAUGCAGCGGCUCGACAUCGAGACAGUUGUUAAAGCUAUGGCGCCUGAAGAUGAGCCUGCGUCUGAUUAGCUAGUUGGCGGGGUAACGGCCCACCAAGGCAACGAUCAGUAGCUGGUCUGAGAGGAUGAUCAGCCACACUGGAACUGAGACACGGUCCAGACUCCUACGGGAGGCAGCAGUAAGGAAUAUUGCUCAAUGGGAGAAAUCCUGAAGCAGCAACGCCGCGUGAGGGACGAAGGGCUUUUGCUUGUAAACCUCUGUAGUGAGAGAAAAAAAUCCCAAUCUUUGGGACAUGAUGGUAUCUCAAAAGUAAGCCCCGGCUAACUACGUG
rnacentral:rRNA from 1 species